rnacentral:rRNA from 1 species
UACGGAGGGUGCAAGCGUUAAUCGGAAUUACUGGGCGUAAAGCGUGCGCAGGCGGUUUGUUAAGUCUGCUGUGAAAUCCCCGAGCUCAACUUGGGAAUUGCAGUGGAUACUGGCAAGCUAGAGUAUGGUAGAGGAAGGUGGAAUUCCUGGUGUAGCGGUGGAAUGCGCAGAUAUCAGGAGGAACACCGGUGGCGAAGGCGGGAUCCUGGGCCAGUACUGACGCUGAGGAGCGAAAGCGUGGGGAGCAAACAGG